rnacentral:rRNA from 1 species
CAGCAGCCGCGGGAAUACGUAGGUGGCAAGCGUUGUCCGGAAUUAUUGGGCGUAAAGGGCUCGCAGGCGGUUUAUUAAGUCUGAUGUGAAAGCCCCCGGCUCAACCGGGGAGGGCCAUUGGAAACUGGGAAACUUGAGUGCAGAAGAGGAGAGUGGAAUUCCACGUGUAGCGGUGAAAUGCGUAGAGAUGUGGAGGAACACCAGUGGCGAAGGCGACUCUCUGGUCUGUAACUGACGCUGAGGAGCGAAAGCGUGGGGAGCGAACAGGAUUAGAUACCCCCGUAGUCCCUGUCUCUUAUAC